rnacentral:misc_RNA from 1 species
ACAAAUUCCAAAACACGCGUGUUUGAUCUAACGUGUUGUUGUGACAGUGGUAGUUGGAUGCGAGGAGGUCGAAUUCAAACAGGGUGUUGUCUCCAUGUUGGGCCAUUCUGUCGAUCUUGUCUAUCUGCCUAUGCUGUCAUGAUGAUGCCUAGAUCAUAUAUCAUACACACAACACUCACAUUCAAUACAUUGACAACCAAGAGUAACCUAAAACGUUAAAUCGAAA